rnacentral:rRNA from 1 species
AGCAGCCGCGGUAAUUCCAGCUCCAAUAGCGUAUAUUAAAGUUGUUGCAGUUAAAAGGCUCGUAGUUGAACUUCGGGGUUUACUCAUUGGUCAGGCUUAAUUGUCUGUACUGGUGAGAUGAAUCUCUACCUUCUGAGGAACUUUCAUGCCAUUUAUUUGGUGUGGUUGGAAAUCAGGACUGUUACUUUGAAAAAAUUAGAGUGUUUAAAGCAGGCUAACGUCUGAAUACAUUAGCAUGGAAUAAUGAAAUAGGACGGAUUGAUUCUAUUUCGUUGGUUUCUAGGGUCACCGUAAUGAUUAAUAGGGAUAGUUGGGGGCAUUAGUAUUCAAUUGUCAGAGGUGAAAUUCUUGGAUUUAUUGAAGACUAACUACUGCGAAAGCAUUUGCCAAGGAUGUUUUCAUUAAUCAAGAACGAAAGUUAGGGGAUCGAAGACGAUCAGAUACCGUCGUAGUCUUAACCAUAAACUAUGCCGACUAGGGAUCGGACGAAGUUAAUUAAUAAUGACGCGUUCGGCACCUU